GGGACUAAAAAUAUAUUCACAGAAAAACAUUAUAGGCGCCACCCCCACCAGUUCUGCCCCAAAUCGAAUCCUCCUUCCCAUCCCAGCCCUCCCGCCGGACCAACGCCGCCGCCGAGCCCCUCCGCCCUCUACAGCCCCCUCCACCGCUGACCUGUUCAACCUCCACCAAUAUUAAUGGUGCCGGCGCAUCGAGGUCGACGUCGCUUCCCUCCACACCCAUCUGGUGUGCGAGGUGGACAUCGACUUCCUCCCUUAGGCUCCGCCAUCGAGAUUGGUCAACGCCGUCGGUGCUCGACGCUUGCCUCCCUCCUCAGCACCAGAUCCCACGACAGCACCGAGCCCCUCCAUCGUGUUGCAAGCCCGCCGACGGCAAGCACAUGAGGAAGCGGUGCUUCUUGGCUCCUCUACCAUCUCUAGGUCGUCGCGCCACCACCAUGCCUCCACGCUGAUCUACAUCUGACGACCAUGGGCGGGCUUCCUCAACCCCAACGGCGAGCGCAGUGCGUGCUCCUCACUACACUGGUACAAAAGGCCGCUCAGAUCUGUCAAGGUGGAAACCAGAUGCAAGUACUGAAGACAUCUAAUGAAUGUUGGGAUCCUUUUCCCCUGUUUGUCUUUGAAGGAUUUGUAUGUAGAAUAAUGAGAUGUAUAGGGGGGUUCAGUUACAGAGGCAGUUGCUAUCAUCAAUUCAUCAUGCACAUACAUGCUAGUUCCUCAAUAUCUUAAUUCUCCUCAUGCUCACCUGAUUAAUUCAGUGCAUGUUAAACAUUUUUUACGUCUUUUUCAGUUAUAGGUACUGCUCCUCUCUGAAUAGGUCGCUAGAAGAACCCCCAUCUUUAAUUUUGCCUAAACUUGUAACAGGUUGUGGAUUAAUAAAGGUUACUUUUUCUGUAAAAUUUGUACGCUCAGUUGUGGACUGGACUGCAGUGCUUUCUCUAAAAAAAACUUCAUACCUUGUUCUCAUAAUUUCAGAAAACUAUUCUUAACGGUUUUGUAGGUUGACGGCGGAUACUUGAGAGUAUUUGGUUUAUGUAACUUCUGAGCAGGUUCAUUGAUUCUAGAGUUGCAUCCUUCUGUUAUGUGUAGAUGUAGAUGUAAAAGAAACAGUAAGUAAUCUCCCUUUCUUUUCAUUUACAUUUGUUAUAAUUUUAUAUGACAUGUCUUAUUGCAGCUAUGCAUUGCUGCAAUUGUACAGAUCGCUUAUGAUAAAAAGGGAAUAAUAUUUUGUCCAAACUGAGCAGAUGAGAGAAUAAUAAUGCUUAUUUUCUGAUGAAAAAUGUGGCUUCAGUAAUAGCCUACAGUAGCUUUGGACCGAACUAGACGGGCACUCUCUGCUACCUUGCAAGUCUGUGUGUAACCUCACAUGAAAGUAUACUCAUUCACGUGCUGCUAUACUAUCUCCUAAUGCCUUCCCCUAAUAACAGAGGCCGUAAUCAAUACAUGUCAGGAAUAUGUCCUCAUCUAUACACAUAAAUAUCUACUACUGUACAUUGCAUCUAAUUUAUUGUAUGCUUUCUUGGUCUAAUGAACUGGAAUUGAAGUCAUGUUUUGGUUUGUUCUUAAAUCUCACGUAUGUACCUGAAUACCAUCUAUGGUUUACUUUCUUAGAUACAUUAAAUUUUAGUAAGUUUCAUGGAAACAAUUUUGCACAUCUAAAUUAUGGUGCGACCCCUUCUGAUUAUGUGUUGAUGAUCAUAAUGGAUUAUGGAAUGGUAAGAUACUCUAAAGCUUCUGAUUGCUAUCUGCACUAUUUUAUAUUUAAAACAUGAUUCAUAUAUGAUAUUUUGCAAUUUGUUAUCCUCCCAUAAUCACCCAGUUAAUGAAUUCCGCCAUUAAAAGUAUACCAAAUGCUCUUUUAUUACUGUAUUUUACACUCUUAGGUACAACUUAUUUGUUUUGUUGUUUUUACUAGGGAGAAACUUCAUUGUGCUGUCAAGUGAUCAAACUAACAGUUUUCCUUGAUCUGGCACAGAUUUUAUAGAAGUAGCUGGAAACUAGAAUCAGGAGCACGUAUACUUUCUUUCGAGUUAUUGUUUGAGCUUUGAUCUAAGUUAGCAGAAUUAUUUUUUGUAACAUGGUUCUCAUCUCUGAACACAUGUUGUUUCUUUUAUGUUAUGAUUUUUUAAAACAAAACACAUUAAUUGACAUAUAAUUUGUUAGCUUUAUAUAACGUUUUAAUUCUCUGAAAUCAAUUAUUGCAAAGAUUCAUUGCCAGUGCUCCAUGUUGUAAAGAUUCAAUGCUUUUAGUGGCUAUAUUAAUCCAAAGUUCUCUUUAAAUGGUUAUCUCAUUACAUUCAGCAGCUUUCAUCUGUACCAUCUUAUCUGUUCAGGUUGGCAUCACACUGGAAGAUAUUCUGGGAAACAUGUAGUUGUACUAGUGAACUAGGAUGUUUACAUGGUGAUUCAUCUGUUCAUAGUGACAUCACAAUCAAGUGGGGUGAGGCUAUCAAUCUGUGAUCUUUCAAGCAUUGCAAGUUUGGUGCUCUUCUGCUGGAUACAUGGGGCCCUCUUUGAAUAAUGCAGUUUCACAUGAUGAUGGCGAGUCUGGUAUUCAGAACAUCUCAUGAAAAUGGCAAUGUCAUUUGGCAAACGGCUGAGCUGAAAUAUACACAAGUGUGAACAUGCCAUUGUUUCCUAGACAUAGUUGUAGCCAUAUGUCAAGAUCAAACCGUUAGUGUAGCUUAGUUUGAAGACAUGACAUCUUAUUGUCACAUGUAAAUUAUGUUUACCGAUGUGGUUGGUGGCUACUGAACACAUCUAUGGAUGUUGAAAUCUUGAAUUUGUAGUUUGAAUAUGUUUCAGGUCUGCUAUUGAAUCUCGAGUGAAAUGAUGUACGAUGCGUCUGCUAUUGAAUCUUGAGUGAUUUGAUGUA